rnacentral:lncRNA from 1 species
AAUAAUCAUGUGAUAAUCAAGUAUAGCUAAGUGCUCAUCCAUCUAAGCUGACACACAAGUUUGAACAGAUAGAUUCUGACAUGAACAGGACUGGGUGUAAUCAAUAUGCUCUAGUACUACGAUCACAUGAAGACUGGUGCGAAAGCACAUCACAUACAAGUCGGAUUGCCUAAGUGCAAUCUACCUGACAGGACUGGCACCUAAACUUGGAUCCAAGGUGAGCGAACGGUGCAGAUGUGAACAUACACAUGAAGGACUGGCCCUGGCCAUAGGGCGAGUACUAACACUGGGUGCAGCAAGAUGAGCAUGUACAAAUAUGUAUGAAUGCCAUGACAGUAAUAUCACAACCAUAUAGCAACAUUUAUCACAAUUUAUAUCACAAUAAUGAUACUAGGCUAUAUAGGCGUAAAAGUGAAGUAAAUACGCAUUUAUGGAAACUAUAAAUAUAUAUAGGUAUAAAACAACUGCCCACUCACAAGUACGUCGCUGGGUCGUAGCCCCCGAGCCUAGCUUGUCCUCGACACUCCUCGGGAUAAGUUUCCCCUAUAUGUGAAAUAACUAAAAUAGCAUUAAUUAAAGCACAUAACGGAAGCCUAAAUAAAACCCCCAUAGUUUUCUCAAACCUAGGGUUUAAAUAUAUGAAAUCAAUCUACUCGACGACAUGAAC